CCUACGGGUGGCAGCAGUGGGGAAUAUUGGGCAAUGGGCGCAAGCCUGACCCAGCAACGCCGCGUGAAGGAAGAAGGCUUUCGGGUUGUAAACCUCUUUUCUCAGGGACGAAGCAAGUGACGGUACCUGAGGAAUAAGCCACGCCUAACUACGUGCCAGCAGCCGCGGCAAUACGUAGGUGGCAAGCGUUAUCCGGAUUUACUGGGUGUAAAGGGCGUGUAGGCGGGAAAGCAAGUCAGAUGUGAAAACCAUGGGGUCAACCUGUGGCCUGCAUUUGAAACUGUUUGUCUUGAGUACUGGAGAGGCAGACGGAAUGCGUGGUGUAGCGGUGAAAUGCGUAGAUAUUAGGAGGAACACCAGUGGCGAAGGCGGUCUGCUGGACAGCAACUGACGCUGAGGCGCGAAAGCGUGGGGAGCAAACAGGAUUAGAUACCCCUGUAGUC
rnacentral:rRNA from 1 species